AACGAACGCUGGCGGCAGGCUUAACACAUGCAAGUCGAACGCAUCCUUCGGGGUGAGUGGCAGACGGGUGAGUAACGCGUGGGAACGUGCCCUUCAGUUCGGGAUAACCCAGGGAAACUUGGGCUAAUACCGGAUACGUGCGAGAGCAGAAAGAUUUAUCGCUGGAGGAUCGGCCCGCGUCUGAUUAGCUAGUUGGUGGGGUAAUGGCCCACGAAGGCGACGAUCAGUAGCUGGUCUGAGAGGAUGAUCAGCCCCAUUGGGACUGAGACACGGCCCAAGCUCCUACGGGAGGCAGCAGUGGGGAAUAUUGGACAAUGGGCGCAAGCCUGAUCCAGCCAUGCCGCGUGAGUGAUGAAGGCCUUAGGGUUGUAAAGCUCUUUCGUCCGGGACGAUAAUGACGGUACCGGAAGAAGAAGCCCCGGCUAACUUCGUGCCAGCCGCCGCCGUAA
rnacentral:rRNA from 1 species